rnacentral:rRNA from 1 species
CCUACGGGGGGCUGCAGUGGGGAGUAUUGGACAAUGGGGGGAACCCUGAUCCAGCCAUGCCGCGUGUGUGAAGAAGGCCCUCGGGUUGUAAAGCACUUUCAGUGAGGAAGAACGCCUGGUGGUUAAUACCCAUCAGGAAAGACAUCACUCACAGAAGAAGCACCGGCUAACUCCGUGCCAGCAGCCGCGGUAAUACGGAGGGUGCGAGCGUUAAUCGGAAUUACUGGGCGUAAAGCGCGCGUAGGUGGCUUGAUAAGCCGGUUGUGAAAGCCCCGGGCUCAACCUGGGAACGGCAUCCGGAACUGUCAAGCUAGAGUGCAGGAGAGGAAGGUAGAAUUCACGGUGUAGCGGUGAAAUGCGUAGAGAUCGGGAGGAAUACCAGUGGCGAAGGCGGCCUUCUGGACUGACACUGACACUGAGGUGCGAAAGCGUGGGUAGCAAACAGGAUUAGAUACCCCUGUAGUC